AAUUCUGGAGGAAGCAAUGCAAAGCUAACCUUCGGGAAAGGCACUAAACUCUCUGUUAAAUCAA